CUUUACUGUAGCUUGGUAUUGUGCCCGGGCUCUGAAUGCGCAGUAUAGGUGGGAGGCGUUGAGUUUGUUCUUGCGGGAAUUUAGGAGCCAUCAGUGAGAUACCACUCUGGUAAUGUUAGAUUUCUAACUUUGUAUCAUAAUCUGGUCAAAGGACAGUUCCAGGCGGGCAGUUUGACUGGGGCGGUCGCCUCCUAAAUGGUAACGGAGGCGUACAAAGGUUUCCUCUGAACGUGUAGAAAUCGUAUCUAGAGUAUAAAGGCAUAAGGAAGCUUGACUGUGAGACUUACAAGUCGAGCAGGGACGAAAGUCGGUCUUAGUGAUCUGACGGUGCUGAGUGGAAAGGCCGUCACUCAACGGAUAAAAGUUA
rnacentral:rRNA from 1 species